rnacentral:lncRNA from 1 species
UCACAGCCACGGCGCCUACUCGUCGUCCCGCAUCUAUUUUGCUACUUCCCGGGCUCCCUCCCUCACUAGACGACGCCCCCCACGGGAGCUCCUUCGCCGCCCCCUUCCUGUGCCAUUCCUUGCUGUUGUGCCGCUCCUCCUCAUCACCAGGCCCUUUUGGUGAGCUUCCUUGAACCCUGUGCCGCCCCUCUCCCUCCCCAAGCUGCCACUUCUCUUGCCCCCAUCUUCGGCCCCAAGUCCAUGGCCGGCCGUGCCUGUCCCGUGCGUGCGUGCCUGUAUUGUGUGCUAUUUGUGCUUGGGGGCCUCAUUGGAGAAGAAGAAGGAAGUGUAGGGGGUUACGGGGAAGUUCCAGGGAGUUUUGCGCAAUUAAACCAUAGACCCAAGGGGUAGAUCGUAAGAUCGUCUCGGUUUUGUUUAUUUUCUAGAUUUAAAAAGGCUGAAACUUUAAAAAUUUAUAGUAAACUGUAGAAAAAUCUUAAAAUAGCAAAUGAGGAUGUUUUGGAAUCCUUGUGAGUAUAUUUACACAUUAGAGUCAUAAUAUGAUAUGUUUUAGUAGAAAGUUUCUGAUGUUUUUAUUUAUUCUUUCAAAGUGCUUUUAGAAAUCCUUUUAAGUUGUUAGAUGCACAUCUUGAGUUAUAGAAGUCCAAAGAUUGUGAUUCCAGUUGUGUUAGUCUUGUGAUGACACUCUCUAGCUAAGAAAAAUAUUGAACCUGCUAGUUGUGUACUGUUUUUAUCAUGUUUUGAUUUAAUCUUGAUAAAUAGGCAAUUUUUUUUAUCUUGUUUUGCUUGUCAUUUUCAUAUCUAAAGUUGUGGUACUUAAAUUGCUGUGAAAUUUUUAUGGUAGGAUAUAAAUGAUACUAUUGUUCUGUUCUAAAAAUUUCAUAUUCAUUAGAUGCAGUAUCAUUGACUUAUUGAUUUAACUUGUUUAUUGCUUCAUAAAUGGCUUUAAAUAAGUUAUAAUUUUUCUGUGGGUGUAAAAAUGGGAAAUGUGGUUCCAUUACCUUUGUAUGAUGUUUUUAUACCACAAUAACAUAUAAUAUGGCUGUGUGUUUAUAGAAAUGAUGAUCUUUAGAUUUAUGUUGUUUUUUUACAUGCUUUCUUGCAAGAGCAAUUUGUCUUUUUUAUAGCAAUUAAAUUAUAAAACCUGAGCAUGUGAAAUUUGUACAGUAGCCAUGUUUUGAUAACAUCUAUCAUCCAUAAAAAUAUCAGCUCCAAAUGAGAUGUUUGCCACAUCACCUAUAAUUAAUAUAUAUGUUUACUAUAUAAUUGGACAAUGAAAGUUUGCUAGUAGAUGCAUAUACUUAGGUCAUGUGAAGCUUUUAAUAGUUGUUUUUGAGGGUACAUAUGAUGCUAAGUUAUGAUAAGUUGUAGUUAAGCUUUGAAUAUAACUCCUAUGUGUGCUCUCGUGUUAAUAUAACAACUACUUAUAUAAGUUCUUCACCUUUGCUUUGAUUCUUGCUUAAGGUAUUUAGGGUGUUCCAUGUUAUCUAAAACUAAUGCUAAUUAACUAUGUUCAAGUAUUUGUGCGCUAUGUAUUUAACUUAUGCAUAUGUUACCUUGUUAAAGAACUAAAUGAAGAACCUUGUUGCAUAUGUGCUGAAAUGACUGCUAGAGUAGUUUCUGUUGUGGCAAAGUUUUCGAGAUGAUAAUGAUGUUUUCUGUACAUAUGGUUAAUACAAAAGUGUUAGGUAACUUCAUCAUAUAGCUUGUGUUAAAUUUUCAUGACCAUAAGCCUGAUGGUUUAGGAGCUAUAGAUUUUACAAGUUCAUUAUCAGGUUUUGCAUGGUCUCGGUACAGGUCUGCAUGCUUGUGUUGUUUGCCUUAGCUAAGCUUUGAAUCAUGUCUUGGAAAUAAUAUAAGAAGUGUAGGGUUUUUCAUGAGACUUCUAAAUUGUUAAAGAUCACCCCUUUUGGUGGUCUAAAUCUCCAGUUAUGAGCUUGUGAACUGGAAUAACAGAAUCUGUCCUAAUCUGGAUAGAGAUGUCUUGUUUGUGAUGUUUGACCUGGUUAACUCUGGAAUUAGCUUGUGGUGUUUAUAACAAAGUUGUGCAUAGUUUGUUAAGCUUUCAAAAAAAUCUAGAACCACCUUGUUGUAAAAACUAGAACUCAACUUAUUGCUGUCCGGAGUUGCAUGUUAGUUUUCUGUCCUUGUUUGUACAGAUCUGCUUAUUGGUGUGUUUUCACCUUCUUAUUUGUUGAAUUAGCUUUUGGUGUGAGUAACAAAGUUUUAGAUAAUUUCAUUAAAUUUACAGAAAUUCUAGGGUCACCCUUGUUGGAUGCUUAUAUCUCUAGUUAUGGUUAAAACAAGUGACUGUUGUGUUGCUGUCCAGAUUCGGUGUAUGUGAAGUUAUUAGCUUUAACUUGACGUUGCCUUGUGUGUUUGUUAGUUAGCUCAUAUCACUACUAGAGUUAAAUUUAUCUACCUGAAAAUCUUACAAAUGUGUUAUAUAAUGUUGGUCAAGCACUUAACUAAUAAAUGGUCAUGUAUGCAUGUUGCUACAAAAUAACCUUGCUACAUAGCUUGACUUAAGUUCACCUGUAUGCCAUGCCUAGUGUACUUGCUAUCCCUCUAUAAUAGGUUGUGUGGUGUAUAGUUAAUUAACUCUAGGCGCCUAUGUCUUGCAUGAUCUUAUAUUUUCCUUAAAUACUUUUGUGUGAUGCAUCUCAUUUUACCAUUCUUGGUAUUCAUGCUGUUGCAUCUUGCAUCUCAUCUAGAUACGCUAGAUAAACCACGUGAAGGACAUGAUGAUGGAACCAAACCCGAAGACGGUGUAGGGUGAAGCUAUCCUGAAGAUGGAAGGACUAAGCAAGUACCGAGAUGGGAGAUGCUUGCCAAGCAGUGUCGUCUAACAAACACUAACCUAGUGUGGUUUCCAGGCAAGCCUCGGAGCAUAUCCCAGUUUUCUAAACUUCUGCAAUGAUUUUAUGUUGAUUAUGAUUGUGCAUUUAAGUUACUAGGCAUUGUCUGAAACCUUAGAUGCAUGAACUUAGUAUCCUUUUGAUCUGAACACUAGCAUGAUAAGUCGCGUAGAUGCAAUGCUUAAUAGGAACACGGUAAAAGUCGAGUGAUUUCCUGUCACUCGCGAGUUAUAGGAGUUGUUUGUUUACUUAUGUUACAACCAUAAGGGCGAUGGGCGGGGUAGGGCCUUGUGAACUGUUUUGGUGGUCGGUAGAUUGCCCCGUCUGUCUAAAUGAAAAUGGACUAAGGUCGAAACGUGUCGGCGUUCGUGAUCAAGUGUUUAAAAGUACUAAUCUCAUACCUAGUAUGGGAUGGGAAAGCCUAGUACCUGAUUGAACUAGGACGUGGCUUAUACUCCUGCUGUCCCUGGAAUGAGGUUCCCAUGGUGCAUCAUGUGGGUGCAAGUGCGGUCACAGUACGGCAAGAGGCCAGGACUGUGGAGCAUUGCAUGCCAAGGGAAGUUUGGCCCUGACACGUGGAUGGGGAUCGAUGGGGAUGCCUAACAAAUGAAAUGAUCCUUCGUGGUGCGCGGAUGUCGUGAGAUUAGGUUCGCCAUGCAUGGUUAAUAAAUUUGAAUCGAUUCGUCUACCUCUCACAGUUUGGGACUACUCGAUCGCUAUUCUACACUGAGUAAAGAUACAACAUGAGGAUAUUAAUCUUGAUGCUUGUUCUUUAAUUGUUUGGGAAACUAUGCUUGCUUAGUAUAAGUUGCUAAUCUAGACUGGUUAAUGAACUUAGAACUUGAGCUAAAAUAUUAAAAAUAAGAAUCAACUUUAGUCGCUUUUGGCAAAAAUAAACCCACUGCCAAAAAGCCUUGCAUGUCUAAGAGUCGGUGGAGUAGUUACCACCUGACGGGUAAGUCUUGUUGAGUAUUAGUAUACUCAGCCUUGCUUGUGGCUUCUUUUUCAAGUGUGGUUCCUGGUGUUGUCUUGUUUGGGACCCAUCCUCGGUCGGCGAGGAUAGGGAUCAUUGAUGUCUUGAUCGGCUUCGUCAUGAUAUCGUGUAUCGACAUUUAGCUUCCACUUGUUUUACUUCUUCGUUGUUUGAAACCUUGCAAAUUCUGUACUAUGUUAUUGUGAUGGGAAUGUUGUAAUCUCUGUGCCCACUCACCUUCGUGUGAGCAAAUGCUUCUCGAUCCUGAGUAAGUGGUUUAUCGGAUAAAAUCCGACGGACGACCAAGUUGACUUGCUUAAAGUGCAUGAUCGCGUGCCAGGCGACUUAAGUGCAUUUUAGUCAGGUUAAUUUGGGCGGUUCCGCCACACGCAGCUCCUGCCUGCGCGCGCCGCCACCUGCUCCAGAGGUGCGCCGCUGCCUGAGCGCACCGCUGCCGCCCGAGACCGCCGCCGCCCGCGCGGAUACGCCGCCCUACGCCGGGGAAGGGAAAUCAGGCCGCACCGCUGGUCAACACCGCCGCCGCCAGGCCCGAUCCGCGUCGGCAGAAGCCGCCGACACCCGAUUCACUCGGGGAAGAGGAAGGAGGAGGGGCCCCGACGCCGGAUCCGGUCGGAAAACGUGCGCCGCCGCCGCCGGAUUCGGAUCAAGGAAGAGGGUGGAGCACCGGGGGUAGGUGAGAAAGAAGACUCUGAUACCAAUUGUUAGCUAAAUGAAUCUCUUUCUCAUUCACCACACCCACAAAGGGAUCCUUAGGGUACAUGUAGGCCAACAAUAGGUAGGUGGCUUAGAAGCUAAGUAAAGCAUCUAAAAAGCAUCAAAAUGACAUCUAAGUAGGUAAAGUGCAUAUAGAUAGAUAAAACGCACACCCAAUACACACAUGACUUAUUCUAUCAAAAUCAAUAAUGAGUAAGAUAGUGACAGAUUUCAUUUACAAAUAUUAAGUCCCCGACCCUAAGUCCCAGCUGUGAUGUUGCUUGGUGGUGUAGUCGCCGGCGUUGUUGGUUAUUCCAAAUGGAUUUUUGCUGCCAACCCGCGCUGUUCAUCAGCUGCGGCCAGAGGAACUGCCAUCUGCCAAUAGAUCCCACGGCCGCUGGGGUUUCAGCCCCAACAGCAAAUCCUGUAGGCAGCUAGCAGUGGCUCGAUCCUGUCAUUCAUUUGGGGGUUUCUGAUAAUAUCAUGGUAUGUUUCGUAUUGGAUUGAUCUAAACUACUGCAAAAACUCACCUUUAUCUUGGCGCCACAGAGCAUAUUGAGAAAGCCUCGACCACGUCUAGUUGCAAAACUUGGAGAUCAAUGAACCAUUCACUUCCUAGAUCAGUACAUUUUUCUUUUGCGUAUGAACUGAUGGUCAAUUACGUUAGAUGCGGAUGCCAUGUCCUCGUGGGGUGCUCGCAAUUCGUUGUUACCUUUUUUCUUUUUGCAAUUUGCAGUAGUGAUGGGGAUAGACUUUUGAUUGCACUGCCGCUCUGUUCUGAUGAUAAUCAAAGCAUGUAUUUAACGAAGACGUAUAAUACAGUUCAACUAUUGUUGCACAAACUAUUGUUCUGAUGAUAAUCAUUGCAGGAGCAGGGCUGAUGCAGAUAUAAGUUGAUGAAGCAAAACACUUUAACUUUUAUGGACCAAUACAUCCUUGGCCCCGCAAUGGAGAUGCUGGCUGAUUGAGUAUCAUACACUGUUGUGCAUCACCUUAUCUUAGAACACUAGAAUAUUUAGAGCCUUUUCCCAAGGCUUCAUGGUCAAAAUACAUACUCAUAUUUACACUAAAUUCAUGCAUAUUCAUAUCUGUUUUUAUUUCUGAGUAGCGUAGUCAAUUUCCUGGUAUUCAAAUUCAAGAGUCAAGAUUCAAUGGAUAUAUGUUAGCAAAUUUACAAACCUGUGGAAAUUGAAUUUCACUUUAUUUAACCAAUGCCUUCGGUAGGGUUGUAGGAAUUAUUUCCCUUAAAUCUGUAUUACUUAUCAAUGCCUUUGUUUCCAGGUACAUGAUCUUAUCAGUGCUCUAUUAUGCCUUCAUCAGCUAGUUUGCUUUCAAUCUUCUGUCACGGCGAAUGGAACAGCAUGUUUGGGGUCUUCCAUGUGAACGUAGUAGGCACGUAGAACCCUGAAGAAUGUUAAACUCCAAUGUAUCGGCCAGUGACACCAUGAUACUUUGUCAUGGAAGCACUUUAAACACCUAUUUAGUUUAAGAACCUUGUGAAGCAGACCAAUUUGAAUGCUACAAGCCUACCGAUUAUGAUUGAGCUAUCACUAUGCUUUCUCCUCUGUUGUGGCCCAUCCUGUGCGUUUACAAGCUGAUGAAUCGAUGAUG